UUGAGGUGCAUUAUUAACAUUAAACCUUGCUCUCAUGUGUGAUUAACAACUUUGCCAUUGCUUAGGUGUUCUCACUAGAAUCCACCUCACAUCCUUUAUUGAAUAACCUCUCUUACCUAGACUAAUUACAUGUUAUGUCAUUGCCAAAUAAUACUAGAAAACAAAUAUAAUAUAUGUUUCAUUUUAUGCAUCGUUUUCCAAUGUUUAAAACCGGACCGGCUAGCGAACCGAAAUUCUUUUGGGUCAUAGGUCAUUGUGGUUCGACCGGUCUGAACCGGGUUCGAUCGGUCUGGACCGGGUUCGAUCGGGUUUACUUAGAUUAAACUAAAUUUAAUAAUAUUUUAUAAAUAAUAUUCAUAUUUUAUAAAUAAUAUUCAUAUUUUAAAAAAAAAAAAUAGAUC
rnacentral:lncRNA from 1 species